AGCCCGUGCUCCUCCUGGACCUGACAGUGGGUGGGGUAGGGUGAGGUACUGCGUCUUGGGCCAAGGGUGGGUCGUCCCAUUAGGCUUCUGGUGUCUCCUCCUGGGGGUCGUCAGUUCCUCCCCCCAUGGUCAAAUGCACAGUCCGAAAUGCCUCCGUUCCCACCCGUGCCAGCCAGGGUGUCCAUGUGUCUAAGUAUGUCUGCAUUCGGUCUUGGGCUGAGUACCAGAUUUCCUCUGUUACUCGUAACUCCUCCAUUCUAGUAAACCACAGGGAAAGCUUUGGGGUUGUGUCUUUUUU